GACGAACGCUGGCGGCGUGCCUAAUACAUGCAAGUCGAACGCAGUUGCGAACGGGUGAGUAACGCGUAGGUAACUGCCUGGUAGCGGGGGAUAACUAUUGGCAACGAUAGCUACUACCGCAUACUACCAGAUGGACCUGCGUUGUAUUAGCUAGUUGGUGGGGUAACGGCUCACCAAGGCAACGAUACAUAGCCGACCUGAGAGGGAGGUAGGGCAACAGUGGAAUGGAAAAAGGGCCAGAAUCCCAAGGGAAGGAGGAAUAGGGAAUCGUUGGAAAUGGACGGAAGUCUUAACGAGCAACGGCGCGGGAGGGAAGAAGGUUGUCGGAUAGUAAAGCUCCGUUGAAAGAGAAGCGGUAUCUUACCAGAAAGGGACGGCUAACUACGUGCCAGCAGCCGCGGUAAUAC
rnacentral:rRNA from 1 species